rnacentral:rRNA from 1 species
UAGCAUAUGCUUGUCUCAAAGAUUAAGCCAUGCAAGUGUAAGUUUAAACCAAGUUUAAACCGGUGAAACUGCAGAUGGCUCAUUAAAUCAGUCAUCAUUUAUUUGAUAGUCAUGUCCAUUUGAAAAAAUAAUGGUCUAAUUGGAUAACUGUAGUAAUUCUAGAGCUAAUACAUGCUUUUAAGUCUUAACUUUUAUAUUUAUUCUUCGGAAUGAAGAUAAAGGAAGAGAUGUAUUUAUUAGAUUUUUUUAUAAAAAAGAGAACCAAAACAAUCAACUUUUUUGGUGAUUCAUAAUAACUGUUCGGAUCGCAAAAACAUUUUUCUUUUCUUCGGAAGAGGAGAAAGCGACAAAUCAUUCAAAUUUCUGCCCUAUCAGCUGUGGAUUGUAGUGUAGUGGACUACAAUGGCGAUAACGAGUAACGGAGAAUUCGGGGUUUGAUUCCGGAGAGGGAGCCUGAGAGAUGGCUACCACUUCCAAGGAAGGCAGCAGGCGCGCAAAUUACCCAAUCCUGAUACAGGGAGGUAGUGACAAGAAAUAACAAUAGCGGGACUUUUUUAAUGGUUCUGCUAAUUGGAAUGAGUACAAUUUAAAUCCUUUAACAAGGAACAACU